ACGGGAGGCAGCAGUGGGGGAUAUUGCACAAUGGGGGAAACCCUGAUGCAGCGACGCCGCGUGAGCGAAGAAGUAUUUCGGUAUGUAAAGCUCUAUCAGCAGGGAAGAAAAUGACGGUACCUGACUAAGAAGCCCCGGCUAACUACGUGCCAGCAGCCGCGGUAAUACGUAGGGGGCAAGCGUUAUCCGGAUUUACUGGGUGUAAAGGGAGCGUAGACGGCAAGGCAAGUCUGAUGUGAAAUCCCGGGGCUCAGCCCCGGUGCUGCAUUGGAAACUGUCUAGCUAGAGUGCAGGAGAGGUAAGUGGAAUUCCUAGUGUAGCGGUGAAAUGCGUAGAUAUUAGGAGGAACACCAGUGGCGAAGGCGGCUUACUGGACUGUAACUGACGUUGAGGCUCGAAAGCGUGGGGAGCAAACAGGAUUAGAUACCCUGGUA
rnacentral:rRNA from 1 species